rnacentral:rRNA from 1 species
UACAGAGGUCUCAAGCGUUGUUCGGAUUCAUUGGGCGUAAAGGGUGCGUAGGCGGCGCGGUAAGUCGGGUGUGAAAUCUCGGAGCUUAACUCCGAAACUGCAUUCGAUACUGCCGUGCUUGAGGACUGGAGAGGAGACUGGAAUUUACGGUGUAGCGGUGAAAUGCGUAGAUAUCGUAAGGAAGACCAGUGGCGAAGGCGGGUCUCGUGGACAGUUCCUGACGCUGAGGCACGAAGGUCAGGGGAGCAAACAGG